UGCCCAGCAACUCCUAUCCCUACCUCCUCGUGGUACUGGCCGGGGUACGAGUAACCUUAGGGAAGAUCAGGUAACCAAUCCGGUAACGGUGGGAGCUUUGGUGGUAUGCUGAUAGGGAAGG
rnacentral:ribozyme from 1 species